GAUGAACGCUGGCGGCGUGCCUAAUACAUGCAAGUCGAGCGAAUGGAUUAAGAGCUUGCUCUUAUGAAGUUAGCGGCGGACGGGUGAGUAACACGUGGGUAACCUGCCCAUAAGACUGGGAUAACUCCGGGAAACCGGGGCUAAUACCGGAUAACAUUUUGAACCGCAUGGUUCGAAAUUGAAAGGCGGCUUCGGAUGUCACUUAUGGAUGGACCCGCGUCGCAUUAGCUAGUUGGGGAGGUAACGGCUCACCAAGGCAACGAUGCGUAGCCGACCUGAGAGGGUGAUCGGCCACACUGGGACUGAGACACGGCCCAGACUCCUACGGGAGGCAGCAGUAGGGAAUCUUCCGCAAUGGACGAAAGUCUGACGGAGCAACGCCGCGUGAGUGAUGAAGGCUUUCGGGUCGUAAAACUCUGUUGUUAGGGAAGAACAAGUGCUAGUUGAAUAAGCUGACACCUUGACGGUACCUAACCAGAAAGCCACGGCUAACUACGUGCCAGCCGCCGCGGUAA
rnacentral:rRNA from 1 species